rnacentral:rRNA from 1 species
UACGAGGGGGGCAACUGUUGUUCGGAAUCACUGGGCGUAAAGGGCGCGUAGGCGGCUUUGCAAGUGACGGGUGAAAGCCCUCGGCUUAACCGAGGAACUGCCUGUCAGACUGUGAGGCUUGAGACCGGGAGAGGUGAGUGGAAUUCCCAGUGUAGCGGUGAAAUGCGUAGAUAUUGGGAGGAACACCAGUGGCGAAGGCGGCUCACUGGACCGGAACUGACGCUGAGGCGCGAAAGCGUGGGGAGCAAACAGG